rnacentral:pre_miRNA from 15 species
UCAACCUGUAGCACUCAAACUUUGGGGGCACUUUCUGUUCUCUAAGCUUGGAAGUGCUGCCUUCGUUUGGGGGUUACCGAUUGA